AUACGUCCUACGGGAGAAAGCAGGGGACCUUCGGGCCUUGCGCUAUCAGAUGAGCCUAGGUCGGAUUAGCUAGUUGGUGAGGUAAUGGCUCACCAAGGCGACGAUCCGUAACUGGUCUGAGAGGAUGAUCAGUCACACUGGAACCGAGACACGGUCCAGACUCCUACGGGAGGCAGCAGUGGGGAAUAUUGGACAAUGGGCGAAAGCCUGAUCCAGCCAGGCCGCGUGUGUGAAGAAGGUCUUCGGAUUGUAAAG
rnacentral:rRNA from 1 species